UCUUACGCAUGAGCAAAGAAAAUGAUUUCUUGAGAUAGAAUUUAUCCUUGGUGAAAAUGCUGUAGA
rnacentral:pre_miRNA from 1 species